rnacentral:rRNA from 1 species
AGGAUGAACGCUGGCGGCGUGCCUAACACAUGCAAGUCGAACGUCCUUCUUCUUCGGAAGAAGGGAGUGGCGGACGGGUGAGUACCACGUGGGUUAUCUACCGUGAGGUGAGGAAUACCGGCGAGAAAUCGCCGACAAGACCGCAUAGGCUCGAUGCAAGUCGAGCAAAGCUCGCUCGCAAGAGGGAGCGCCACACGAGGAGCCUGCGCCCGAUUAGCUGGCUGGUGGAGUAAUGGUUCACCAGGGCGACGAUCGGUAGCUGGUCUGAGAGGACGAUCAGCCACACUGGGAUUGAGAACGGCCCAGACUCCUACGGGGGGCAGCAGUGAGGAAUUUUCGUCAAUGGGGGCAACCCUGAACGAGCAACGCCGCGUGCAGGAAGAAGGUUUUCGGAUCGUAAAACUGCUUUUCUCGGGAAGAGAACGGACGGUACCCGAGGAAGAAGCCCGGCUAACUACGUGCCAGCAGCCGC